rnacentral:rRNA from 1 species
GAAACUGCAGGUAAUGCCGGAUAACAUCUACGGAUCAAAGGUGUGAUUCCGCCCUGGGAGGGGACCGCGUCCUAUUAGCUUGUUGGUGGGGUAAUGGCCUACCAAGGCAACGAUGGGUACCGGGCGUGAGAGCGUGACCCGGCUCACUGGGACUGAGACACUGCCCAGACACCUACGGGUGGCUGCAGUCGAGAAUCUUCGGCAAUGGGCGCAAGCCUGACCGAGCAAUGCCGCGUGCGGGAUGAAGGCCUUCGGGUUGUAAACCGCUGUCAGUUGGGAGGAAAUGCUAUGGGGUACUCUCCAUAGUUUGACCUAUCUUCAGAGGAAGGGCGGGCUAAGUUCGUGCCAGCAGCCGCGGUAAGACGAACCGCCCAAACGUUAUUCGGAAUUACUGGGCUUAAAGGGUACGUAGGCGGUGCGGUAAGUUGGAUGUGAAAUCCCACGGCUCAACCGUGGAACUGCGUUCAAUACUGCCGUGCUUGAGGGAGACAGAGGCGAGCGGAACUGAUGGUGGAGCGGUGAAAUGCGUUGAUAUCAUCAGGAACACCCGUGGCGAAAGCGGCUCGC